rnacentral:misc_RNA from 1 species
UAAGAUGAGACCAGCAUCACGGAGGU